rnacentral:rRNA from 1 species
AAGACCUUGCACUUUGGAGCGGCCGAUGUCUGAUUAGCUAGUUGGUGGGGUAAUGGCCUACCAAAGCUUCGAUCAGUAGCUGGUCUGAGAGGACGGCCAGCCACACUGGGACUGAGACACGGCCCAGACUCCUACGGGAGGCAGCAGUGGGGAAUUUUGGACAAUGGGGGCAACCCUGAUCCAGCCAUGCCGCGUGAGUGAAGAAGGCCUUCGGGUUGUAAAGCUCUUUCAGCCGGAACGAAACGGUUACGGUUAAUACCCGUGAUUACUGACGGUACCGGAAGAAGAAGCACCGGCUAACUACGUGCCAGCAGCCGCGGUAAUACGUAGGGUGCGAGCGUUAAUCGGAAUUACUGGGCGUAAAGCGUGCGCAGGUGGUUUUGUAAGUCAGAUGUGAAAGCCCCGGGCUCAACCUGGGAACU